GAUGAAGAACGCAGCGAAAUGCGAUAAGUAAUGUGAAUUGCAGAAUUCAGUGAAUCAUCGAAUCUUUGAACGCACCUUGCGCCCUUUGGCCAUUCCGAAGGGCAUGCCUGUUUGAGUAUCAUGAACACCUCAACUCUUCAUGGUUUUCCAUGAUGAGCUUGGACUUUGGGGGUCUUGCUGGCCUGUGGGUCGGCUCCUCUCAAAUGAAUCCGCUUGCCGGUUUUUGGUGGGCAUCACAGGUGUGAUAACUAUCUACGCUUGUGGUUUUCCACCAGGGUAACCUUCAGCAGUGGAGGUUCACUGGAGCUUACAAAUGUCUCUCCUCUGUGAGGACAGCCCUUUGAAUGUUUGAUCUCAAAUCAGGUAGGACUACCCGCUGAACUUAAGCAUAUCAAUAAGCGGAGGA
rnacentral:misc_RNA from 1 species